rnacentral:rRNA from 1 species
UACAGAGGUGGCAAGCGUUGUCCGGAAUCAUUGGGCGUAAAGAGCGUGUAGGCGGCCCGAUAAGUCCGCCGUGAAAGUCCAGGGCUCAACCCUGGAAUGCCGGUGGAAACUGUCGGGCUGGAGUCCGGAAGAGGCGAGUGGAAUUCCUGGUGUAGCGGUGAAAUGCGCAGAUAUCAGGAGGAACACCAAUUGCGAAGGCAGCUCGCUGGGACGUUACUGACGCUGAGACGCGAAAGCGUGGGGAGCAAACAGG